rnacentral:rRNA from 1 species
UAGGGAAAGUUUUUCGGUGUAGGAUGAGACUAUAUAGUAUCAGCUAGUUGGUGAGGUAAUGGCUCACCAAGGCUAUGACGCUUAACUGGUCUGAGAGGAUGAUCAGUCACACUGGAACUGAGACACGGUCCAGACUCCUACGGGAGGCAGCAGUAGGGAAUAUUGCGCAAUGGGGGAAACCCUGACGCAGCAACGCCGCGUGGAGGAUGACACUUUUCGGAGCGUAAACUCCUUUUCUUAGGGAAGAAUUCUGACGGUACCUAAGGAAUAAGCACCGGCUAACUCCGUGCCAGCAGCCGCGGUAAUACGGAGGGUGCAAGCGUUACUCGGAAUCACUGGGCGUAAAGGGCGCGUAGGCGGAUUAUCAAGUCUCUUGUGAAAUCCAACGGCUUAACCGUUGAACUGCUUGGGAAACUGGUAAUCUAGAGUGGGGGAGAGGCAGAUGGAAUUGGUGGUGUAGGGGUAAAAUCCGUAGAUAUCACCAAGAAUACCCAUUGCGAAGGCGAUCUGCUGGAACUUAACUGACGCUAAGGCGCGAAAGCGUGGGGAGCAAACAGGAUUAGAUACCCUGGUAGUCCACGCCCUAAACGAUGUAUGCUAGUUGUUGGGGUGCUAGUCAUCUCAGUAAUGCAGCUAACGCAUUAAGCAUACCGCCUGGGGAGUACGGUCGCAAGAUUAAAACUCAAAGGAAUAGACGGGGACCCGCACAAGCGGUGGAGCAUGUGGUUUAAUUCGAAGAUACGCGAAGAACCUUACCUGGGCUUGAUAUCCUAAGAACCUUAUAGAGAUAUGAGGGUGCUAGCUUACUAGAACUUAGAGACAGGUGCUGCACGGCUGUCGUCAGCUCGUGUCGUGAGAUGUUGGGUUAAGUCCCGCAACGAGCGCAACCCACGUAUUUAGUUGCUAACACUUCGGGUGAGCACUCUAAAUAGACUGCCUUCGUAAGGAGGAGGAAGGUGUGGACGACGUCAAGUCAUCAUGGCCCUUAUGCCCAGGGCGACACACGUGCUACAAUGGCAUAUACAAUGAGACGCAAUACCGCGAGGUGGAGCAAAUCUAUAAAAUAUGUCCCAGUUCGGAUUGUUCUCUGCAACUCGAGAGCAUGAAGCCGGAAUCGCUAGUAAUCGUAGAUCAGCCAUGCUACGGUGAAUACGUUCCCGGGUCUUGUACUCACCGCCCGUCACACCAUGGGAGUUGAUUUCACUCGAAGCCGGAAUACUAAACUAGUUACCGUCCACAGUGGAAUCAGCGACUGGGGUGAAGUCGUAACAAGGUAACCGUAGGAGAACCUGCGGUUGGAUCACCUCCUUUCUA